UUUAUUGGGGGAGGAGCCAAGAUGGCCGAAUAGGAACAGCUCCGGUCUACAGCUCCCAGCGUGAGCGACGCAGAAGACGGGUGAUUUCUGCAUUUCCAUCUGAGGAACCGCUUAGAAAAUGUGCCUGAGUGGGUAUGUGAAAGCCGAAAGCUAGAAGUUUUGGAUAUUGGCCAUAAUCAAAUAUGUGAACUUCCUGCCCGCUUAUUUUGUAAUAGCAGUCUCCGGAAACUACUGGCAGGACACAACCAGUUGGCAAGGCUGCCUGAAAGGCUAGAAAGAACCUCGGUGGAGGUCUUGGAUGUGCAACACAACCAGCUCCUUGAGCUCCCACCUAACCUUCUGAUGAAGGCUGACAGCCUGAGAUUCCUGAACGCCUCUGCGAACAAACUGGAAAGCCUUCCUCCAGCCACGCUUUCCGAAGAGACAAACAGUAUCUUACAAGAGUUGUAUUUGACAAAUAACAGCCUCACAGACAAAUGUGUGCCCUUGUUAACGGGACACCCCCAUUUGAAGAUCCUUCACAUGGCCUAUAACCGACUUCAGAGUUUU
rnacentral:lncRNA from 10 species